rnacentral:rRNA from 1 species
GAUGAACGCUAGCUACAGGCUUAACACAUGCAAGUCGAGGGACCGGCGCACGGGUGAGUAACACGUAUCCAACCUGCCCUUUACUCGGGGAUAGCCUUUCGAAAGAAAGAUUAAUACCCGAUGUAAAGGAUGGGGAUGCGUUCCAUUAGGUUGUUGGUGAGGUAAAGGAUAACCAAGCCUUCGAUGGAUAGGGGUUCUGAGAGGAGGCUCCCCCACAUUGGAACUGAGAUACGGUCCAAACUCCUACGGGAGGCAGCAGUGAGGAAUAUUGGUCAAUGGGCGUUAGCCUGAACCAGCCAAGUAGCGUGAAGGAUGAAGGCUUAUGGGUCGUAAACUUCUUUUAUAGAAGAAUAUGUAUUAUAUGAAUAAGGAUCGGCUAACUCCGUGCCAGCAGCCGCGGUAAUUC